GAGGGUAUAACUCAGUGGAAGAGCACAUGCUUAGCAAGCCUGAGGUCCUGGGAUCAAUCCCUAGUACCUCCA
rnacentral:tRNA from 1 species